CAAUGGACAGAACAAAGGGCAGCGAAACCGCGAGGUUAAGCCAAUCCCACAAAUCUGUUCUCAGUUCGGAUCGCAGUCUGCAACUCGACUGCGUGAAGCUGGAAUCGCUAGUAAUCGCGGAUCAGCAUGCCGCGGUGAAUACGUUCCCGGGCCUUGUACACACCGCCCGUCACACCACGAGAGUUUGUAAC
rnacentral:rRNA from 1 species